rnacentral:rRNA from 1 species
UACGUAGGUGGCAAGCGUUAUCCGGAUUUAUUGGGCGUAAAGGGAACGCAGGCGGUCUUUUAAGUCUGAUGUGAAAGCCUUCGGCUUAACCGGAGUAGUGCAUUGGAAACUGGGAGACUUGAGUGCAGGAGAGGAGAGUGGAACUCCAUGUGUAGCGGUGAAAUGCGUAGAUAUAUGGAAGAACACCAGUGGCGAAAGCGGCUCUCUGGUCUGUAACUGACGCUGAGGUUCAAAAGCGUGGGUAGCAAACAGG